UUGCUAGCUUAGGGCACAGUUGGGAAACAGACUUGAGUCUAUCUGAGAGGGUGAUGACAUGGGACAUCAGAUGGUAGUCACAGAGAACUCACUUCUGCUUCUGCUUUCCUAAACACCUCCAGUGUGUUUCACAAUUUGGUGCCUUUCCUUGAAACCACCCCUCUACCCAGGAAACGUGUUGAUUUUAAAAGAAAGUUACCUAGAGCCCUCAGAGGCCAGAAGAGGAAAUCAAAUCUGUAACUAGAGUGACAGCUGUUUGUGAGCCACCCUGUGGAUGCUAACCUGGGGUCUUCUGAAAGAGCAGGGAUAACUGCUGAGCUCUCUUUCCAACCUCACCUACUUUUCUUUUUCUCCUUAAGUUAAACAACUGGUGAACCUGGGGUGUCAAAUAAAUUCCCAGACAAUAUGUGUUCUCUGCA